rnacentral:tRNA from 1 species
GCGGUCGUGGCGGAAUGGCAGACGCGCUAGGCUCAGGACCUAGUGGCCGCAAGGCCGUGGAGGUUCAACUCCUCUCGACCGCACCA